AUUGAACGCUGGCGGCACGCCUUACACAUGCAAGUCGAACGGUAACGGGCCUUCGGGUGCCGACGAGUGGCGAACGGGUGAGUAAUGUAUCGGAACGUACCUUUCAGUGGGGGACAACGUAGCGAAAGUUACGCUAAUACCGCAUAUUCUGUGAGCAGGAAAGCAGGGGAUCGCAAGACCUUGCGCUGAUUGAGCGGCCGAUAUCAGAUUAGCGAGUGGGUGAGGUAAAGGCUCACCAAGGCGACGAUCUGUAGCGGGUCUGAGAGGAUGAUCCGCCGCACGAGGUCUGAGACACGGUACAGACUGCUGCGGGAGGCAGCAGUUGGGAAUUUUGGACACUGGGGGGAACCCUGCUCCAGCCAUGCCGCGUGAGUGAAGAAGGCCUACGGGUUGUAAAGCUCUUUCGGCCGGGAAGAAAUCGUAUCAGCUAAUACCUGGUGCGGAUGACGGUACCGGCAUAAGAAGCACCGGCUAACUACGUGCCAGCCGCCGCGGUAAGAC
rnacentral:rRNA from 1 species